rnacentral:rRNA from 1 species
CACGUAGGCGGACAUUUAAGUCAGGGGUGAAAUCCCGGGGCUCAACCCCGGAACUGCCUUUGAUACUGGGUGUCUAGAGUAUGGAAGAGGUAAGUGGAAUUCCGAGUGUAGAGGUGAAAUUCGUAGAUAUUCGGAGGAACACCAGUGGCGAAGGCGGCUUACUGGUCGAUUACUGACGCUGAGGUGCGAAAGCGUGGGGAGCAAACA